AAUGGACAGACAGAUGCUACGUCACUGGAGCCGCCCCGAGAAGGAGCUGGAGGGAGGCAGCCCAGCGCUGGGGCCGCCGAGCGGCUCUGCUCCUCACAGAAGCCGGGGCUGGGCAUCCAAGAAGCAGCAGCCCCCGUUUCUGGUGUCAUCGUGGGGGGCCACCUUGGCUUUUAGGCUUCUCACCUGGGGCGGGUGGGUGCGCCACCACCCUCCCGCCCUCUUUCCUCCACGCGUGAGCCAGAGCCGCAUCCAGCACCACGGACAGCUCCCGGGUGAUUCCUAAGAGAGUGGAGGAGUUAUGACCAAGGUCACUCAGCGAGGUAGUGGAAAUGCCAAGAUGAAGCCUCCUGAACUCCAGCCUGGCCCUGCCCACCGUGUCUGAUAUAUCCUGUGGGGGCCUCCCUGCCUUUGUUGGGAUGCUGAUGCUGGUAGAGAACGUUCACAGGUUGUCCUUGCACAAAAAAAGACAGGAGGCAUGCGUGGACAUGUGCGGUGUCCACACAAGCCAGGAAGAGCCAGGAGAUUCCAUGAUCCUGCACAUUCCUGUCUUGGGAAGUCCUUGCCAGUGUCUGGCCCUGCUGUGUGCCCAAGCACCUGCUCUUCGACCCUUGGCUUGACGUGGCUACUUUGAGAAGUGAGGAACACACAGCCACACAGAUGCAGUCACUUCACUGGGCUUCCUGGACUCCAGCUGUUGGCACUUGGCCAGCUUGGUGAGGUCCCGGAGCCCCUUCGAGACUUGGGGACCCAAGUCUAAGAUCUGUUGUUUAGAGGGGCGCCCGGCCGGCUCAGUCCGUAGAACGUGUGGCUCUCAAUCUCAGGGUCAUGAGUUCAAGCCCCACGUUGGGCGUGGAGCCUACUUACAAUAAUAAUAAUAAUAAUAAUAAUAAAUAAAAUCUUGCUUAGACAAGGGGAGUCUGUGUCACAAAAUGCUUUGAAAUUCCCCUUGCCCCCAUCCCCACCCGAAGAGAGAAGCCCGAAGCAGAGGCCUCUGGAAAGUGAUAGUGUCCCAGGCCCUCAGGGUUGGCGGGGGGGUCCCCUAGGAAGGCAGUCUCCCUGCUCCCAGCAUUCGGGAGGUUCUGACAGGGUCCCUGAGAGAUCCUGAGAUGGUGAGGACUCCCUCCCUCUGGAGCUCAAGCAGAAGGCAGAGGAUGGUCACCUUGACCCAGAGGGGCAUCCCGAAGGGGCACUGAGCAGGGUCUAGCUUUGCCGGGGGAAUCCUGAAUGAGGGGCAGGUGGAGAGAGAGAAAGGAGGCCAUUCUCCACUGAGGCAGGGUGGGCUGGCAGGGAGGGGCUGGGAUGAUUUACGACAUCAUUGUUUCCCCGCCCCCCACUACUGGACGGUUGCUAGGAGAUGCUGGCUAUCUGUGUCUGGGCGGGAGGGUGAGGCUGCUCCAUCUGGACCCCUUCUCCCCUCCUCUGAGCUUCACCCAUUACCCCUCCCCAGACCCCGACACACCUUCCCUUCUGUUGGCCCCCAAAUCCAGCCAGCCUGGGGCUCAUGGGGCUCCCAGGCCGGCUGAGGAUCUGGGACCAGGAAGCCAACCGGGAGCCCUGGAGGGAGAGGCCAGCAGACUCAGCUGGGGUGCUGAGGAGUGGCCGGCUCACCUCAGGGCCUCUGGGAGCCAGGGCAGGAUGAGGGCCAAGGGAAGUCGGGGCCUCGAGGAGCCCAGGUUUGAGGUAGACUGAGUCCAGUGUGAUGGGUGAGGCAGACCCCAAUCACACCCCUCCACAGUACGGCCCAAGUCAAGGUUAGCGGCCUGUAAAGGCCAGGUUUGGGGUCAUGGGGUGGAGAACUGAGGGCAGGGGAGAAUAAGGCUGGACCAUCUGAUCUGAGCAGAGGUACGCUGUGUCGGGGCAUGGCUCAGAUCCCUUCCUCUUCCGGAGAUUCUCUCUUCAGAUUUCAAAGCCCUUGGAGAAUCAGAUGGGUGAACUUUAGGGACUCCUAAAGCUGCUGGCUCCCAAGUCCUGCGGGGAAGGAGAGGGACGCGUGCCCACAGAGGUGCUCCUGAUACCAGAGCCCACCUGGAUUCGGCACCCGCUUGCUCAUGCGAGCCCCCUCUCUCAGCCAUGUUCUCCAUCAGUCUUCCAACAGGCCUGGAAACUGGCUUGUACUGUCCUGCACUUUGCAAAGGGGCAGUCAAGGCCUGACAAAGGACAUGUGACUUGCCCAGAGUCAGGGGUUAGUAAGCUGGGCUGGGGCUUCAGAUGAGGCCUGGUGGGUCCUCUGCACACGCUGCCUCCCUCCCCUGUGG